CCGCCAUAUUGGAGCCCUGGAGCUGCGGCGGGCCAAGGCUUCGUGGGGCUCGUGGAGCUGAGAGGUGGCAUGGUGUCUGACCCCUGCCCCAACCACUGAAUUUUCGUUACGUCCUGGAUUGCAAAGGACCUCAGAGCAAUCUUUGGUAGAUAACAUGAUCACGAAGGAUUAUAGCUUUGCCCUGAUAAUGACAAAGGAAGUAUCUACCAGAAGAAGUUAGCACUUAAUCUUUCUUACCCCACCAGCGAAUGUAAACGACAUUGAAAAGGGACUACAAGUUCUGAGGUUCACUAGAGAAAGAUACUAGAAGACCUGCUGAGGGUCUCUGAGAAGUUAAAAAUGCUGAUAUGCAUAAUUUGUGUAUUUUAUUUUUCCCUCCUGAGCUUUUCGAAGGAGAUGCAUAGCUUGGUGGUGAGGAUUCACACAGCACGGUCAAGACCCUGGAUUGGAUCCCUGGCACUGGUUUGUUUGUAUCAGUGAAAAUACACACUGUGCCUUUGUUAGAAGUUAAUAAAAUUCAGCUGACAUGUAGAUCUUCCUUUCAAAAAGCUAGGCAGGCUGCUUUUAAAAUUGCCAAAACACAAUAGGAACCCUCAAAGAUAUAUGGAGAUGAUGGUAGUUAAUAGGCAGUUUUCAAAGACUUGGCUUAUGUUGUGAGAAGCAGCCCCAGAAGUGGCAAAAGCCAUUCUUGUGACUUCAGCAACCUAAAAACCUCAGAAAUAUGACGAUUCUUCUACCUGUAAUGAUGGUAAGUACCAAAAAGGAAACAGUAUUUACCGUUUCUCUUCUGCCCUUUGAUUGAAAUGUAGAAAUGGUUCAGACUAAUGAGUCUUUGUUUUAAUAAGAUAUUUAUAUGAGUAAUAACCUUAGCUUGAGUUAUGUGGAAGACUGAUGUAUUGAAAGAAAAUAACAGGUUGGAUGAAAAUAGUGUGAAAAAUGGGGCCGAUAUAAUGUGAUGGGUUCUAUAAAUUUGUCAUGUAUUUGAAGUAUUCUAGCCUUCUAUAUAAUGGAUAGUCAACCAAAAUGUGUGGAAAAAAUAUCAGUGUCUUUUAUAAACACUACAAAUUAAGUCUUAACUUUCAUAGGAAAAAAAUUCCAUAUUCUUUAGAAACUUAUGGGAAAACAUUUUACCAGGAAAAAAAAUGUAUCUUUCAGACCUCUUUGAUUAUGGUAAAUGCCACUCCCCAUUUCCUUACAUUGAUACAGAUAGGCACAUCAUUUAGCAAGUACGGUUUGGGGGUUUUUUAUCUUUUUCCCUUGGAGUAAAUCUUCAUUUUACCUAAUAAGAGAACUAAAAUUUUUCAUAUUUUAGAUAUUCUUUCACAUAGAUUUUUGCUGCUGGAUUUCCUACAUGGUUUAAGUAAGGUAAAUGGAACAAAUGUCUCUCAAAAUUUGAAAUCUAAAUGACAUCAGAUUUAAAUUAAUGACUACCUAGAAAAGCAAGCUUUCCUUAUCUUAAGAUCACAUUUCUCAGAUUUUAACAGGCUUGGAUAAUUAAAGGGGCACUAGAAAACAUGUCUUUGCAAGAAUAUAUGCUGAUAAACUAUAUGUGUUAAUAAAUAUAACCAUUUCCAGAAAUUCAGAUAUGCAGAAAUGCUCAUCUGCAACCAGUUUGGUAAGUGGGUAUACAUUCAUAGGUCUUUGAGAAUUUUUGAUGAUGCUGUCUGCAAGAAUUUGCUAUAAACUGGAAUCUUCUGAUUUGUAUUUUUUUAUACACAGCUUUAUUGAAAUGAAAUUCACUUAUACACUUCACCUAUAUAAAGAGUGCAAUCCAAUGGGUUUUAGUUUGCUCAGAGUUUGAGCUAUCAACACAGUUAUACAAAAAAAAAAAAACUAUGCAAAACCGUUCUUGUAAGUAUAAGAAAAUAAUUUAGAAUGAUGUUCUUCUAAAGUGGUACUAUAUAAAGCUUACUGUGGGUAAUGUCUUAGAGUCCUUCAAUUAUAGUUGCAAUACUGCAAGUAAAUAGUAUGUUCCUUGUAUGUAAUAAGUGACCUUUACUAGCAACAGAUUAUUGUGUAGCAUAGAUUACUGGCAGUUACAUGAUAUAACACUGUCACAGUUGAGAAUUCUUUAAGGGUGACGCAUACUUAAAUUGAUUGCUUUCUUUUUCUGUGUGAUUAUCAUGCUGGGCAUUAGGUAUGCCUUAAUUGAAUUUUAGUCCCUGAGUCUGUUCCAUGUCCAGUGUUUAUGUUUGUGUCUUUCUAAAACUUGACUUUAUCUUUGCUUUAGAGAUGACUCCUGAGCAUUUUUUUCCAAGCUAGCAUUGUUUCCCCAUGAAGACUAAAUUUUGUUAUGUUUCAUGUAAACUCUGAGUUAACAAUAUAGUGAAGAGUCACCAGAUUUCAGGGUUUAAGGAAUGAAUGAAUGGAAUAGAGCAAAGCAGGUAUCAAAUGAAGAUAAGCGGUUUGAAUCUCUAAAAGAUAAAUCUUGGUAGGGGCAGGUAGAAUUAAAAGGUUUAUUUUAAGUGUUAGAAGCAACAACCUACUUAUUUAAAUAUUUACUUUUAAAUAUUUAUAUACUUGAGUAUUUUGCCAUCAGAAGAGAGUGUCAGAUUGCCGUGGAACUAGAGUUAUAGGUGGUUUUGAGCCACCAUGUGGGUGUUGGUAACUGAACUUGAUCUUUUGAAAAGCAACAAGUGAACCAACUCUGUCCUCUCACAAGAGGAUAUAUCCUCAGACUUUAGUUUCUUUUUUGGUUCUUUUUUUUCGGAGCUGGGGACCGAACCCAGGGCCUUGCGCUUCCUAGGUAAGCGCUCUACCACUGAGCUAAAUCCCCAGCCCCCAGACUUUAGUUUCUUAAUCCCCUCUUAGAAAGUAAAGUCUAGUCCUAAGUCGUGUACAGUGAUCACGCCCUAAAGCAAUCUGAGGACAUUUAAACUUACUGGGGAAACCCAGCCAAAAAGGCAAAGAAAAGGAUCUCUGAAAUACUUUUGCAGUAAUUUUCUUGCAUAAUACUCAGUGGUUUGGGUUUCUUUCUAAAACCCAGCACUGGAGGUAGAAAGAGGGAAAACUGUGACUUGGAGCCCAGCCUAGACUGUGUGGGGAAUUCCUGUCAAACCAGGAAAUUUUUUCAUUGAAUUCUUUUUCUUUUCAUAAUUGCCAUUUUCAAGUCUUCGCUGCCCAUAUAACCAAACUUGUGUUUUGUGCAUUUUAUAUGACACUACUCAAAAAAAAAAAAAUGUUGUAAGCAGUGACCAUGAACCUUACCUACUGAGUAAUGUCAUCCUAAAGUAUGGUAUUUACACUUCAUUAAUGCACAUCAAACCCAAAUGGGAUCUUUAAAACCAUUAUUGGAGAGAGUAUUAAAUGUUCAGUGAAUGUGACUGGUCUCUGUUACUGACAAUCUGUGAUUGUGUAGAUAUGAAAGAUGCAAAAGGAGAGAAGCAACUGAAGGCGAUGUUAGCCCUCUGUACAUGUCAUCAAUCUAAUUCUAACAGUUAAAAAUUACAACUUUACAUUGCCUGGAGUUAUCUCAUUACUUACCUG
ensembl:lncRNA